rnacentral:rRNA from 1 species
GAUGAACGCUGGCGGCGUGCCUAAUACAUGCAAGUCGAGCGAACGGACGAGAAGCUUGCUUCUCUGAUGUUAGCGGCGGACGGGUGAGUAACAAGUGGAUAACCUACUUAUAAGACUGGGAUAACUUCGGGAAACCGGAGCUAAUACCGGAUAAUAUUUUGAACCGCAUGGUUCAAAAGUGAAAGACGGUUUUGCUGACACUUAUAGAUGGAUCCGGGCUGCAUUAGGUAGUUGGUAAGGUAACGGCUUACCAAGGCAACGAUGCAUAGCCGACCUGAGAGGGUGAUCGGCCACACUGUAACUGAGACACGGUCCAGACUCCUACGGGAGGCAGCAGUGGGGAAUAUUGCACAAUGGGCGAAAGCCUGAUGGAGCAAGGCCGCGUGGGUGAUGAAGGUCUUCGGCUUGUAAAACUCUGUUAUUCGGGAAGAACAUUUGUGGAAGUAACAGUUGACAUCCUGACGGUACCUAAUCAAAAAGCCCCGGCUAACUACGUG